AUUUUUGCCGGCAUCACUGUCAGCUCCUCUUAAAUGCAUUAGCGGAACUUUAUUAAGGACCAGCUUUGGUUUGAUAAUCCUAUCUAUGCCGUCGCUGUGGACUUUGCAUGUUCGGCUUCUAAUGGUCUUCGGACUGUCUCUUCUGAGGCAUACACUUUAAGCUUGACCUCAAAUCAGGUAGGACUACCCGCUGAACUUAA
rnacentral:misc_RNA from 1 species